rnacentral:rRNA from 1 species
UACGAAGGGGGCUAGCGUUGUUCGGAAUCACUGGGCGUAAAGGGCGCGUAGGCGGCCACGCACGUCCGUUGUGAAAUCGCCCGGCUCAACUGGGCGGGGUCAGCGGAUACGGUGUGGCUCGAGCAAGCUAGGGGGCAAUGGAAUUCCCGGUGUAGUGGUGGAAUGCGUAGAUAUCGGGAGGAACACCAGUGGCGAAGGCGGUUGCCUGGAGCUUUGCUGACGCUGAGGCGCGAAAGCGUGGGGAGCGAUCCGG